AUACGUAUGCCAUGGAGGUUUGCUGCACCUAUUGACCCGUCCUAUGAGAUCCAACUAAGAAGAACAGAAUACUUGCUAUCUUCAGAGUAGAAUAUUUUGAAAUGUAUGUGUGCUUUACAGUGUGCCCAGCAUUUUACCAUAUACUAACUGGUUCAAGUCUGAAAGGCACCUCUGCUUUGAGUCUGCUUGCCAGAGAUAAGAUAGGAGGCAGAAGCUGAGGAAGAUUGUCAUUCUGAUACUGUCAGAGCAGAUGAUGAUGAAGAAAAUGAAAGUCCUGCUGAAACAGAUCUGCAGGCACAACUCCAGAUGUUCCGAGCUCAGUGGAUGUUUGAACUUGCUCCAGGUGUAAGCUCUAGCAAUUUAGAAAAUCGACCUUGCAGAGCAGCAAGAGGCUCUCUCCAGAAAACAUCGGCAGAUACCAAAGGAAAACAAGAACAGGCAAAAGAAGAAAA
rnacentral:lncRNA from 10 species